AUGCAUCUCUGACAAACCUGGAGCAGUUAAUGUCUGCUGCUAAGGUGUCCACUACAGAUGUCAAGAAAGAGAAGGUUCUUGCGCUUUCUGUCUGCCUGGUUGUGGCAGCCAAGACUGAAUGGGUGAAUACAGGA
rnacentral:snoRNA from 1 species